ACCUAACGGCUCUUCUUCGAGUCUUCUCAGAGGUUGGAGAUUCCCUGUCUUCUCCAACCUCUGCCAAGUCUUCAGAGAGGUUGGAGUGCGCCUGUCGGAGGUACUAGACCCCAGAUGAGGAUCUCAGGAAGAUCCACAAAGCUGCGUCCAGGGGAACGAACGUGUGGAAGCUGCAGCGGAGCCUCCUGCUCAAGAGUAAAGGACCGGUCUGAAACCUACAAGAACAGAAGAGCCAUGUGACGGGAUCCGUGGUUUGGCAGAGGAGACAUGCGAGAAGACGGAACGUUUUGUCCGAAUAGACAUCUGGCAGGGUGGAACGGAGAGAACAGGUAUGGUGGAGAGAACGUCUGAGAAGGUCGCAGGAUUCGCAGGAGCAUCGGGAAAAGAUUGCCUGCUUGCCCGAAGGAAUGGCAAGUUCCAAAGCUGUGCUGUGGGCAGUGUUUAGUUCAUGUCUGCUUUGCUGGCGGGCCGAGUAGCAACAGCUGCAGUUGGUGUGUUCUCUGAAGGCAGUAUCCGAAGGCUGGAGGGGUUGCUUUUCUUCCCAGGUGUCUUUUGAA
rnacentral:lncRNA from 1 species